ACACUAUAUGCACACACAUUGACCGUUUAAUCCUUAAUAUUCGAGAAGACUGUUGAUGACUUUGAUGUUUCUGGACCAAACCUUCCAGUGCCAAGCUAAAGGAUAAACAGUGAGCCGAGGUAAAAACGUGUGCACGAACUGGAUAUGUGAUACCACCACAUUCUGAGCACAGAGGUGAUUCGGUGGACUAUCCAAGAUGUGGCUGAUUGGCUGACUGCAAAGUUCAUCCCUACAAGAGAAUGAAACUGAUGGGGACACUUUAAUAAACCUAACUGAAACUAUGAUAGCAAAUAUUCCCUAAAAUGAAGAUUACAGGACUGAGAUGCCUACCAAGACCGCACACACCAAUCAUGAGACUUCAUUUGGUUUUUCACAUGGGUCAAUCUCAACACAACACAUUGCAUAAACAGGGUGGCCAGCAAAUUAUCAGCUACCAAACUUUCCUAUGGCAAUACAAAAAAGACUUGAUGAGGAGAAUGGAGAUUUCUUUUCUUCGACAGGACAGAGCAAAUGGAGAUCAAAAAUAAUUCAAGCACUCUUUGAUCAGAUCCAGUAAAUGCAUAAUUUUACAGCAUGAUAGAGGGCAAAUUAUUUUAUUUUUCUCAUAUUUAAGGUAUCCAACAAAUGAACAAUACAACAAGGUGUGCUUAGCCCUUUUACCAAAUACCAGUUCUUAAGAGACAAGACUGGAAGAGGAUAUGUAAGAACAUGUUAAAGAGCCUUUCAGUUUAAUAAAACCUUAGUUCUCAGAUAUCUUGAAUGUGAUACAUAUUCAGCAUAAAAUAAUAACUUUUGUUGUUGUUGUUGGUGUUGUUGUUGUUUUCAUUUAAGGAGUCAAGGCAUGACAUGCUUAAAAACUAAUUAAAAAAGAAAGAUCACCCUUGGUUGAUAUUAAUGAGAUAAAUGAAGUUCGUAGUAGAUUCAGCAAAGUAAAGAACCAGAUGAUUUCAUUAAGAGUCCAACAAACAUGCAACACUAAAAAGGAGGCAACCAAUGCAGAGACUUAGGAUCCAUCUGGAAACCAAGACAUGUAUCAGAAGAAGCCAAGGUCUAUAGAGGUGUCACAAAAAGAAUAAUCUUUAGGACUAAUAAUUUUAUGAAGGUGUACUGUUCAUAAAUGCAUACAUGUGUUUUUGUGGGUAGACUGAAUCGGGGGAAGAUGAUUACUGCAUUGGGGUCCACUUGGAGAAAAUGAAAACAGAAUGCUCAAAGAGAACACCAAAUAUAAACAUUUUAGAAGACUGUAUGGCACGGACAAGAAAUGACAGAACAGACUACAUAAAACACUACGCCACAAAGGAAAUAUUAUCCCAAUAUCCAGCCCUUAAAGUCCCCUUAAUUGUGAGUAGAAUAAUGUUCCAAACUAUGACUUAAAUGUAAUGAACAUUUGCAGAAGUGGUGUAUUAUAGUUUUAUUUAUUUAUCACACAUAUACAGUGAAAUUCUUUUUUUUUUUGUCCACAUAUCCCAGCUAAGCUGGGGGUCAGAGUGCAGGGUCAGCCAUGAUACAUGGCUCCUGGAGCAGAUAGGGUCAAGGGCCUUGCUCAAGGGCCCAACAGUGGCAUCUUGGUGGUGCUGGGGCUUGAACCCCUGAUCUUUUGAUCAAUAACCCAGAACCUUAACUGCUGAGCCACCACUGCCCCAAAUAUUAGUCAAUUCUGUUAUAUUGGGUGUCAAUAGCUUGUAUUAGAGGUCCAAAGCAUACUUGCCCCCUAGUGGGUCCCGGCCCCCUGG